AAGGUCUAACCUGCCCGAUGAUAUUAAUUCAAUGGCCGCGGUAUUUUAACUGUGCUAAGGUAGCAUAAUCAUUUGUCUUUUAAUUAAAGGCUGGAAUGAAUGGUUGGACGAGGUGUCAACUUUCUUUAAUUUAAUAUUUUGAAUUUAAUUUUUUAGUUAAAAAGCUAAAAUGAAUUUGAGGGACGAGAAGACCCUGUAGAUCUUUAUAUUCAUAGUAUUGUAUAUUUUAGUGAAUUAAUUAUUUAUUAAUAUAAUUGUUUAUUUGAUUGGGGCGAUUGUAGAAUUUGUUUAACUUCUAUUUUUAUUUUUCAAUGAUCUUUGUAUUUUUGAUCCAUUAUUAUUGAUUAAAAUAUUAAGUUACCUCAGGGAUAACAGCGUAAUUUCUUCGGAGAGCUCUUAUCGAUGAAGGAGUUUGCGACCUCGAUGUUGGAUUAAAAUAAGUAAUGGGUGCAGGAGCUCAUUAACUAGGUCU
rnacentral:rRNA from 1 species